rnacentral:rRNA from 1 species
UACGUAGGGUCCGAGCGUUGUCCGGAAUUACUGGGCGUAAAGAGCUCGUAGGUGGUUUGUCGCGUUGUUCGUGAAAACUCACAGCUUAACUGUGGGCGUGCGGGCGAUACGGGCAGACUUGAGUACUGCAGGGGAGACUGGAAUUCCUGGUGUAGCGGUGGAAUGCGCAGAUAUCAGGAGGAACACCGGUGGCGAAGGCGGGUCUCUGGGCAGUAACUGACACUGAUGAACGAAAGCCAGGGGAGCAAACGGG